rnacentral:rRNA from 1 species
AUAUCAAUAAGCGGAGGAAAAGAAACCGACAGGGAUUGCCCUAGUAACGGCGAGUGAAGCGGCAACAGCUCAAAUUUGAAAUCUGGCGUCUUUGGCGUCCGAGUUGUAAUUUGCAGAGGGCGCUUUGGCAUUGGCAGCGGUCCAAGUUCCUUGGAACAGGACGUCACAGAGGGUGAGAAUCCCGUACGUGGUCGCUAGCCUUUACCGUGUAAAGCCCCUUCGACGAGUCGAGUUGUUUGGGAAUGCAGCUCUAAAUGGGAGGUAAAUUUCUUCUAAAGCUAAAUACUAGGCCAAGAGAC